rnacentral:misc_RNA from 1 species
AAAAAUCUUAGCCGUCCAUUUGAAGGCCCCCAUGCCCUAUAAAUACCCAAAAUCUUCACUGUAGAAAGGGUCUUUAGGGGGAGCUGAAGUUUGGUGUUCUUGGUCUUUAUUGGAGAUUUCUUUCGGUCUUUAACCUUUAAUCUUCAAGCUCCAAUCUUAAGCUCUUUUGGUUUUUCACUUGAAUAUAGAGUCGCUAAAAAGGGGCUUUAGAAACAUGUUUUCUAAAGAAUCUUGACUCAUACAAAUCCCAACACACCCUGGUCCCCAUCUUCGAUAGAUUCGCCCAACAGCUUAGUGGUCCAUUUUCGGGGUUUCAGCCAUCAGGAUCCUGUCCCUGUUGCUCUUGUCACUUCAAAAAGGUGCUUUGGUCGGCCCAGCCCCAGCAGUCCCAUUGUGACGCAACACAUCAACAUCUGCUCUCUCAUCACUUUUAGAGUCCUUCGUAGGUAAACGCUUUAAAAUAGUUAUUUUUCUUAUUAGAUAUAAUCAGGCUACGUUAGUGGCGUAAGCUAGAAUCCGGACUUUUACAAUGUCUAAACAUGCCGAACUUUUAGAAUAGUUUAAGGUUAGACUGGCAUACCUCAUAAAUAUUAUUGUUUUCUGUUAUAAUAGCAUUUACGUCACUUCAUUAUCUUGAAAAGCAUGUUUCUUUUAGUAGUGUAGAAAUAAAGUUCAGAU